AAGGUUGUAAUAGUAACUGUUUAUAUUGUGGUUUAUUGAUGGUUUAUUGUUUCAUUGUUUUCGUUGUUAAAUAAUUAGACUGGUCUAGUCAAUUUCGUAAGUAAGAAAUUAAGAUUCUUGUGUAAAAAUUUCUGCUGGAAGAUAUGGAAUUAUCGAAAUGUAGAAUAGAUGUUAAAAUAUGAUACUUAUAAUAUAUCAAACAAAUGAUGCUGCUUUGGGCGCCUCUGCCGAUGUGUGCUUAUUAUGGGUUUACGCAGGAACGAUUGUAUGGUGAAAAAUAAGGCUGUGACCAGUAUGGACAAGAUUAAAUUAGAUCAAAAGACUUGCUUUGAGAUGAUAUCCUUGGAUUCAAUUGACAAACUACUUGUAGCAACUAGACAUGUUUUUAUUUCCAAGAAUGCUUGUAAUGAGCUGGUCAAAAAAUUCAUAGGAUACAGGGUGCUAACAAUGGUUUAUAUUAAAACAUGAUAAAUGUACAUGGAGAAGGUAAAUCAAAGGGGAAAUGUGGAGAAGCGAGAUCUCCAAUCAUGAUUGUUUUGCGUGGUUAUGGAAAUGGGUCGUUUGUAGAAAGAGUAAGGGAUGCCAAUUAAACAUAUUAAAUGAAGGAGACAAAAAGUAAAAAGGAUUCAAAACCAGGAGAAUUGGAGCCCCUUUAAUGUUCGAGCCCCUUAGCUGUGAAUGGUGCGAUUUUUAGAAAAUACAUGCAGAGACAUCUCUUUAUCAACGCUUAGGAAUAAAUCUCGAGUACCGUAGAGUAAUCUUCCAGAUCAUCUGACAAAUGGGAGAGAAUUAAAGUUCAGUUUGUGAUGGUACUGAAAUAAUAUCUACAAUGGUGCUGCCUUUGCUGUUUUCGUCUUCACCUUGCAACGUUAAGCAGUUGAUUUUCAAGGGAUGAGUGAGAGCAACUGAAGAUUUAUGCGAAUUCUACUGAAAUAACAAAUUUUCUGCAUUGGCAUUCCUCUUGGAUUUGAUUUGCUUUUCACACCUGCAAACUUUGGAACAUU
rnacentral:lncRNA from 1 species